AAAAACAGACCUCUGGAAUGAAUUAAGUAUUUAACCUGAGGUACCACUGUACUUACAUUUUACCCAUUACAGUGGUACCUCUGGUUAGGUACUUAAUUUGUUCUGGAG